rnacentral:rRNA from 1 species
AGAUGGAUACAGCCUUCACCAGGAGAGACCAAACUGAAUGCUGACGGGGCUGUGGCCAAGUCAUCAAAUAUUGGUGCCGUGGGUGUGAUCUGUCGCAACGCAGAGGGACAGUUUCUUGGCGCUUCUGCACUGGUCUUCAAGGGAGUAACCGAGCCUGCAACGCUUGAGGCUUAUGCAUGUAGAAAUGCUCUAGCUUUGGCAGAAGAUAUGGUCGUCACCAAAGUGCGUAUAGCAUCCGACUGUCUGAGAGAUAUACAUGAGACGAAGUCGAGUUUCCUUAGUUGUGAGUUCGUUCACGAGCAACGCGCUAGUAAUAGCGAGGCACAUAAUUUAGCGAGGAUGGCCACUACCUUAGAUAUCGGCCGUCAUGUGUGGCUCAACGGUCCUCUGGACCACCUUUGUAUUCCCCAAAACAUUAUGAUAUGA